UGGGGAAUCUUGCACAAUGGAGGAAACUCUGAUGCAGCGACGCCGCGUGAGCGAUGAAGCCCUUCGGGGUGUAAAGCUCUUUCGACGGGAAAGAUUAUGACGGUACCCGGAGAAGAAGCUGCGGCUAACUACGUGCCAGCAGCCGCGGUAAUACGUAGGCAGCAAGCGUUGUUCGGAAUUACUGGGCGUAAAGAGUGUGUAGGCGGUUUUCUAAGUCUGUCGUGAAAUCUCCCGGCUUAACUGGGAGGGUGCGGCGGGAACUGGAAGGCUCGAGGAUGGGAGAGGAAAGCGGAAUUCCUGGUGUAGCGGUGAAAUGCGUAGAUAUCAGGAGGAACACCCGUGGUGUAGACAGCUUUCUGGACCAUAUCUGACGCUGAGACACGAAAGCGUGGGUAGCAAACAGGAUUAGAUACCCUGGUAGUCCACGCCCUAAACGAUGCAUACUUGGUGUGAGCGAUUCAUUUCGUUCGUGCCGGAGCUAACGCGUUAAGUAUGCCGCCUGGGGAGUACGGUCGCAAGGCUG
rnacentral:rRNA from 1 species